GAUGAACGCUGGCGGCGUGCCUAAUACAUGCAAGUCGAGCGAACGGACGAGAAGCUUGCUUCUCUGAUGUUAGCGGCGGACGGGUGAGUAACACGUGGAUAACCUACCUAUAAGACUGGGAUAACUUCGGGAAACCGUAGCUAAUACCGGAUAAUAGUUUGAACCGCAUGGUUCAAAAGUGAAAGACGGUCUUGCUGUCACUUAUAGAUGGAUCCGCGCUGCAUUAGCUAGUUGGUAAGGUAACGGCUUACCAAGGCAACGAUGCAUAGCCGACCUGAGAGGGUGAGCGGCGACACAGGAACUGAGACACGGUCUAGACUCCUACGGGAGGCAGAACAAGGGAAUAUUCUGCACUGGGCGCAAGCCUCACGGAGCACCGCGCCGUGAGUGAUGAGGGUCUCCGCAUCUUAAAACUCUGUUAUUAGGGAAGAACAUAUGUGUAAGUAACUGUGCACAUCUUGACGGUGCCUAAUCAGAAAGCCACGGCUAACUACGUG
rnacentral:rRNA from 1 species